rnacentral:rRNA from 1 species
CCUACGGGAGGCAGCAGUGGGGAAUAUUUCACAAUGGGGGAAACCCUGAUGCAGCGACGCCGCGUGAGUGAAGAAGCGUUUCGGCGCGUAAAGCUCUGUCCGUGGGGAAGAAACACGGUUCGCGAGAGCCGCGGACGGUACCCGACCAAGAAGCCCCGGCUAACUACGUGCCAGCAGCCGCGGUAAUACGUAGGGGGCAAGCGUUUUCCGGAUUCACUGGGUGUAACGGGGGCGUAGACGGCGAGACAAGUCUGGGGGGAAAGGCCGGGGCCCAACCCCGGGACUGCACUGGAGACUGCCUGGCUGGAGUACAGGAGAGGUAAGUGGAAUUCCUAGUGUAGCGGUGAAAUGCGUAGAUAUUAGGAGGAACACCAGUGGCGAAGGCGGCUUACUGGACUUUAACUGACGUUGAGGCACGAAGGCGUGGGGAGCAAACGGGAUUAGAUACCCCAGUAGUC